AUUUCAAAAAAAAUGUGAUUCAAAAUGGGACCAAUGGAAUACUUAUAAAGGGCUCAAUAAUGAAUGCACUUAAAGGUAAAGGCAUUAAAAUUUAUGGCUUUAAAAGCAUUUAUUAUGAAAGAAUAAAGAAUGGAAAUAAGAGUGUUAAGUGCUAAAGUAUACAGAUAAUACAACAAAAAAUAUCAAGGAAGAAAGGAUAUAAUGAAGACAAAACUAAAAAUUAAAGCAAUUAAUUAAAGCAAGUGGGAAAGUUAAUGAUAUGAUGAAAACAACAGAGGAGUCCUGCUGUGGUGAGCCUGGAAGCCCAGGACGCAGGCCAGGGUGGAGUCACUGUAGGGCAGAUCUUGGUUGUGGUAGCAAAUAUUCAAAUGAGAACUUUGAAGGCUGAAGUGGAGAAGGGUUCUAUGUGAACAGCAACUGAACAUAGGACAUUUGGCUCUCCUUCUUCAAACAAUGUGACAGAACAUGUGACACAAUAUGCAAUGGGGUCAUAGAAUUUGAAUAUUUUUCUCUUGGAUGACUGUAAAAUGUACAGUAGGAGGCAUCUAUCUCUGAAGAGGAGGGAUCUAAGUGAUCUUCAAGGAAAGAUAGAAGGAGUGAGGCCUGGAUACUGAAAGACCUCUGAAGACCCCAACUACUCAGUGAGGGAGCACACUAGGUCCUCCAGAGAUCAGUUUAUUCAGCACAGGCUACAGUAGAGGAGGAAGCAUCUGCAUCAGCAACAGUGUGGUUUUAGGGACUUAAAUCAUCCCCCACGGGAAGUGUGUAGUUAUGACUGGCAUAUCUGUGGUCAGUUUUCU
rnacentral:lncRNA from 1 species